UUGAACGCUGGCGGCAGGCCUAACACAUGCAAGUCGAGCGGAUGAAGGGAGCUUGCUCCUGGAUUCAGCGGCGGACGGGUGAGUAAUGCCUAGGAAUCUGCCUGGUAGUGGGGGAUAACGUCCGGAAACGGGCGCUAAUACCGCAUACGUCCUGAGGGAGAAAGUGGGGAAUCUUCGGACCUCACGCUAUCAGAUGAGCCUAGGUCGGAUUAGCUAGUUGGUGGGGUAAAGGCCUACCAAGGCGACGAUCCGUAACUGGUCUGAGAGGAUGAUCAGUCACACUGGAACUGAGACACGGUCCAGACUCCUACGGGAGGCAGCAGUGGGGAAUAUUGGACAAUGGGCGAAAGCCUGAUCCAGCCAUGCCGCGUGUGUGAAGAAGGUCUUCGGAUUGUAAAGCACUUUAAGUUGGGAGGAAGGGCAGUAAGUUAAUACCUUGCUGUUUUGACGUUACCAACAGAAUAAGCACCGGCUAACUUCGCG
rnacentral:rRNA from 1 species